rnacentral:rRNA from 1 species
CACGUAGGGCGCAAGCGUUGUCCGGAAUUAUUGGGCGUAAAGAGCUCGUAGGCGGUCUGUUGCGUCCGCUGUGAAAACCCGGGGCUUAACCCCUGGCUUGCAGUGGAUACGGACAGACUAGAGGUAGGUAGGGGAGAAUGGAAUUCCCGGUGUAGCGGUGAAAUGCGCAGAUAUCGGGAGGAACACCGGUGGCGAAGGCGGUGAUCGUGGGCCGACGACUGACGCUGUAGAGCGAAAGCGAUGGGGAGCGAACGAAGGA